UGUGACGAAGUGGAAAUAUAGCAAUGAAGGCUAAUAAAACAGAGAAUUGAAUUCACAUGAUGUCGCCAUUGAUCAGUGGAUUGGAAAAGCAGCAGAGAAAUCCAAUCAACGACGUUACCCAGAAAACAGAACCAAGUAUAAAGACAUCUGCUGUCAUUAAUAUUGUCUCAUAUCAGGUGGUUGCUUUAUCUAACAACAGACAUUGCGUCUUGUGGGGAGAGCUAUAUUUUUUCAGCAUUUCAUUUCUCAUUCCCUUGAUUCCAUCCAUCCACAACAAAAAUGAAAGCCGAAAUAUUACUACUUCUCUUUACAUUUCCGUACCUGUCGUCUUCUGCUUACAUGAGCUUCAAAGAAAAUGCAGAUUGUUCCAUUGCGUGCGGUAAUUUUUCCCUCUCCUGCUUCAAGCAAUGUUUCACACAUCUGAAGCACAGCUUCGACCAUUGUAUCAAAUACUGCAAAUAUUACAUGAAGCAGUGCGAUUUUUUCUGCUUUUGUAUAGAUUGUAAAGGCAGCCUGCGGCCACCAAAUCCUAGAAGGUUCGUUUAUACAAAACUGACUAAAACAAGACUAGCUAAAUCUCGAAAACCUUCGGAGGAAAUAUCUAAUCUUUCUAAACCUAAAGGAAAGUCCUUGAAAUAAAUUUUGUUCAUGAAAUAUGAUUUUGUUCCGCAUUUUCUGAUGACAAUGACUUUGUUCCGCUUUUUCUGAAUAACGAUUUAGCAUUAAAAUAGCGGAAAUUUGGUAAUAAGUGUAUAGAUAUGUGUAUAGAUAUUGUGUGCGUUUAUGUAUAAGUAUGUAAACACCUAUGCUCAUAUAGAUACGCAUGAAUAUUUAUGGAUGCAUGAAUCGUGUUUUAUGAAUGCGCUUGUAUAAUUCUUUUUUGUUUGUUUUGGUAUAAAAUUUAUAAUCUAUUUCGCAAAUAUAUUAUUUGCAAACAUUACAGAAAUGAUUUACAUCGUGUCUAGAGUCGAAGAGAAAAUAAAUGAUUUCUUUAUAAAUGU